CAUCACAACCACUGUCCCACACUCUGCUUUCACAAGACCCUGUCAUCUUAAACUCCAGGACUGUACUCAUGUCCCACCCAUCAGGGGGGCUCCUAUUCCCUUUAUAACCUUAAGCCCUGGUCGGGUGUGAUCACAUAACAGGUAAGAGGAAAGAGGAACUGGAAAGAAUGGAGAUGGCUCACCUGCGCAAAAGGGAAACCAGUACCUUGUCCUCCUUGGGUUUCUUCCUGCUGCCUCUGUAAGCUGGAAAUGGAGACUGGGUUAUGGUGGGUAAAGGAAGGACCUGGAAUCUUACCAGAGACUGAAUGAAAUGUCCCUUCAGUAGAAAUGAAAGUUUAAACGGGAGCUCAGGCCUCCGUGAGCAAGGCUGCAUGCCCAAAUGCCUCGAGAGCAAGGCACAUGUGUGUCACGACUCUGGCAUGAAUAAGGUACUUCAGUUUCUAAGGGCAUUCAUGGGCUUCAUAAUCUCCCUGCUGAGGGGAGCAGAAGACCAGUGUUCUGAAAGAGGAAGAUGUCUCAGAGAUGUUUAAAACCCAUGUGCCUCCCCAUCCAGGCAAAAUGGUACCACUUCCUCUCACACCAUCACUCCCUGGCUGUCCCCCAGCUCCAUUCCAAACACAGAACCUGGGAAGUGUCUUCAGUACUUGGUUCCUUUGAAGGAGCAGCAUCCUUGAGGGUUCUGCAAAUCCUGUGGUGUCAUCACUGGGAGAGACAGACAGUACCUGCAGCCCCAUUCACUUAUCCACAAUGUGGCAGGCAAACAUGUGUUCUCUUCCUCUUGGAAAACACCAAUGGGGACUGUCUCUCUGAGAGCCACCAUGGAUGUCAUUGAUCACUGUUGUGCUCAGGAACCAGAUGCUCAACUCUGAACUACCAAUAGCUGUUCUUGAGGCCAGAGGCCACUCAUGUCCUGGUCAUAGCCCCCUCAUAUCAGCUCCACUGACCCUAUAAACAUGCAUGUUAGAGGGGACUUAGGAACCAGUGCUCAGAACCUUUCCUUUCUCAGAGGUCCCUAACUGUGUCAGGAACACAGUUCUUGACCACAGGGUCACAGGGCUUCUCCCAGGUAUCUAUGGUCAGAGAGCAGACAGUUAGAGCCCCUGCUGCCCUCUGCCCUACCUGCCAGUUCUCAAGAGGCUGGGGUCCUGCUCUCAGCUGAGAUCCAGUCAGCCACCUCCCUAUUUGAUUUGGAAAGUGGAGCCUGUGAAAGGAGAAAGGGGGAACUAUUCUCUGUUGGUUUGGGGGUAAGGCGUCCUUACCUUUUGGGCUGUGGUGUUUUCCGCUGCUGGGGGUGAGGGUGAGUAAAUGGGCAGGAGGGGUGAUAAGAGGUGGAAGAGCCCCAGCCCACACACAAAGGCAAAGCUCAUGUCCAUUGCCCAAGUGGUAAAGCUGCGGGUCAGCCAUGAAGGAUCAACUCUUUCCAGAAGAGAGAGAAAAUUCUCCAUGUAAAUCACACUGUUGCUCUCAGGCAACUGAAACCUGGAAGUUCACUCUGGGAGAGGGCAGCUGAGCCCAGGCUAGCAUCACAGAGCUCCUAUCUGCCUGUCACAAAAGGCUCCUGAGUGUGGGGGAGGGGUCCUAGGAGGAGGUGACAAAAUAAUCACUCCCUAUCCUCCAGCCUUCACAGGGUCUCCAUCCUCCACAGCCUUUUGUGUCUCUAGUUCCACCUGCACACUCUGUCAGAAAUAGUGUGGAACCUUUUCUAUUCCUCCCCUACCCCAGAGAGAGGCUUGUCCACGUUCUGUGGGCUUUUGACACCUCCAAGCCACCUCUAGUGACAUGCCUCCUUCAAAAGUCCUUGCCUCUUAAUCCCUCCCUAACAGUUCCACCAA
rnacentral:lncRNA from 1 species